rnacentral:rRNA from 1 species
ACGAACGCUGGCGGCGUGCUUAACACAUGCAAGUCGAACGGAAAGGCCCUGCUUUUGUGGGGUGCUCGAGUGGCGAACGGGUGAGUAACACGUGAGUAACCUGCCCUUGACUUUGGGAUAACUUCAGGAAACUGGGGCUAAUACCGGAUAGGAGCUCCUUCUGCAUGGUGGGGGUUGGAAAGUUUCGGCGGUUGGGGAUGGACUCGCGGCUUAUCAGCUUGUUGGUGGGGUAGUGGCUUACCAAGGCUUUGACGGGUAGCCGGCCUGAGAGGGUGACCGGCCACAUUGGGACUGAGAUACGGCCCAGACUCCUACGGGAGGCAGCAGUGGGGAAUAUUGCACAAUGGGCGGAAGCCUGAUGCAGCAACGCCGCGUGCGGGAUGACGGCCUUCGGGUUGUAAACCGCUUUCGCCUGUGACGAAGCGUGAGUGACGGUAAUGGGUAAAGAAGCACCGGCUAACUACGUG